ACCUGCGGAGGAUCAUUAUUGAUUGAACUGUUGCCUUCUGUGCUGGCCCUGCAAGUGCACGUCGGUGGCUUUCAUCCAAUACCUUGUGAACCUUUGGCCUCUUGCUAGCUUCGGCCGGCAGAGGAUUCUACAAACUCGAAUGUAAUGAAAUCUUGUUGUGCACAAGCACUACUAUACAACUUUCAACAACGGAUCUCUUGGCUCUCGCAUCGAUGAAGAACGCAGCGAAAUGCGAUAAGUAAUGUGAAUUGCAGAAUUCAGUGAAUCAUCGAAUCUUUGAACGCACCUUGCACCCUUUGGUAUUCCGAAGGGUAUGCUCGUUUGAGUGUCAUUGUAUUCUCACACUUCCGAUCUUGGGUUGGGAGCGGUGGACUUGGGUUUGCUGCUUCACCGUGGCUCACCUCAAAUAUGUUAGUGCAGCUCUUGGUUGGACAUAGUACGGCGUGAUAAGUUUUUUCGCCGGUGCCUCGCAAGAGGGUGGCCGAUCGGGAUGUUGUGCUCCAAACCGUCUUCGGACAAUCUCUGACGACUUGACCUCAAAUCGAGUAAGACUACCCGCUGAACUUAAGCAUAUCAAUAA
rnacentral:rRNA from 1 species